rnacentral:rRNA from 1 species
CGUAUAUUAAAGUUGUUGCGGUUAAAAAGUUCGUAGUUGGAUUUCUGUCGGGGACCUCCGGUCCGCACUAUGUGCGUGUAUCUGUAGGGCUCUGGCAUCCUUCCGAAAGACGUUGCUAUGCUUAAUUGCACGGUGCGGAGUUCGGAACUUUUACUUUGAGGAAAUUAGAGUGUUCACGGCAGGCCAAUGCCAUGAAUAUAUUAGCAUGGAAUAAUAAUAUAGGAUUUCGGUUCUAUUUUGUUGGUUUCUAGGGCUGAAAUAAUGAUUAAUAGGGACAAUUGGGGGCAUUCGUAUUAACACGUCAGAGGUGGAAUUCUUAGAUUGUGUUACGACGAACUACUGCGAAAGCAUUUGCCAAGGAUGUUUUCAUUGAUCAAGAGCGAAAGUAAGGGGAUCGAAGACGAUUAGAUACCGUCGUAGUCUUUACCAUAAACUAUGCCAACUAGAGAUGGGGCGUCGUUAUUUUUUGACUCGCUCCGCACCUUAUGAGAAAUCAAAGUUUUUGGGUUCCGGGGGGAGUAUGGUCGCAAGGCUGAAACUUAAAGGAAUU